rnacentral:misc_RNA from 1 species
GAUGAAGAACGUAACGAAACGCGAAAGGUAAUGCGAAUUGCAGAAUCAGUGAGUCAUCGAAUCUUUGAACGCACAUUGCGCCCCUUGGUAUUCCGGGGGGCACGCCUGUUCGAGCGCCAUUACACACCCCAAGCUAAGCUUGAUGUUGGGCGAUGUCUGUCACAGGACACGCCUGGAACGUAUGGGCGCCGCCGCCGGAUCACGAGUGUAGCAAGACGCAAGUCAUCGCUCGGUCGGUCCUGGCGGUUGGCCGCCGCGCCUCAUGGUAACACAUGGGCCAGUAACUUUUCACAAGUUUGGCCUCGAAUCAGGCGGGGAUACCCGCUGAACUUAAGCAUAUCAAUAAGCGGAGGA